rnacentral:rRNA from 1 species
CAAGGUUUUGCUAAGCAACAGUCCUUCUGUAGCAGAGCUUAACGGAGACCUUGCACCCGAGAGGGGGGAGGCGACUAUAAACAAGCUUCCAGCGCAAGUCAGCACUGUCUGGCAACACAAUCGAAUUGCGGGGACGCUUUAAAGCCUACCGGUACCAACCACUCUUAACGGGGUGGGGCGAGCAUGCUCGAGGUCACAAUCUGGUAGGAUGCAACAAUAAGCAAUCCGCAGCGGCAUGGCCGUCCACAGACUAAGUGGUUGUGGGUAGGAGAACCCUAUCUAAGAUAUAGUCGGGCCUGAAGAGAAAUCUCCAGGGCAUCUGCGUCCGUAGGUGAACCUGCGGAAGGAUCAUUAAAAAGAUCAACCCGGUUGUGAAGUCAAUGCCUUUAUCGGCCUUGUGGGGCUGUCUUAAACUCACAGCAAUGCCAAUUGACAAGUCAUGCCUGUUUACAGGCCUUGUGGGGCUGUUUUAAACUCACAGCAAUACCAGUGACGCACACUCAUACCGGGGGCUUCGGCCCCCGGGCCGGUUGAAUCCCACCCGUGUCUAUAUACUCUUGUUGCUUUGGCAGGCCGUGGUCUCCACUGUGGGCUCUGCCUGCAUGUGCCUGCCAGAGGACCAAACUCUGAAUUUUAGUGAUGUCUGAGUACUAUAUAAUAGUUAAAACUUUCAACAACGGAUCUCUUGGUUCUGGCAUCGAUGAAGAACGCAGCGAAAUGCGAUAAGUAAUGUGAAUUGCAGAAUUCAGUGAAUCAUCGAAUCUUUGAACGCACAUUGCGCCCUGUGGUAUUCCGCAGGGCAUGCCUGUUCGAGCGUCAUUAUAACCACUCAAGCCUGGCUUGGUAUUGGAGUUUGCGGUUCCGCAGCUCCUAAAAUCAGUGGCGGUGCCGGUGUGGCUCUACGCGUAGUAAUUCUUCUCGCGAUGGAGUUCCCCUGGUUGCUUGCCAGAACCCCCCAAUUUUUACAGGUAUGACCUCGGAUCAGGUAGGGAUACCCNCU